rnacentral:rRNA from 1 species
AUGCAACCUACCUUAAUCAGGGGGAUAGCCCGAAGAAAUUCGGAUUAACACCGCAUAAAAUCACAGUACAGCAUUGUACAAUGAUCAAAUAUUUAUAGGAUUAAGAUGGGCAUGCGUGUCAUUAGUUAGUUGGCGAGGUAACGGCUCACCAAGACCACGAUGACUAGGGGAUCUGAGAGGAUGACCCCCCACACUGGUACUGAGACACGGACCAGACUCCUACGGGAGGCAGCAGUAAGGAAUAUUGGUCAAUGGAGGCAACUCUGAACCAGCCAUGCCGCGUGCAGGAAGACAGCCCUCUGGGUCGUAAACUGCUUUUAUUCGGGAAUAAACCUACUUACGUGUAAGUAGCUGAAUGUACCGAAGGAAUAAGGAUCGGCUAACUCCGUGCCAGCAGCCGCGGUAAUACGGAGGAUCCAAGCGUUAUCCGGAUUUAUUGGGUUUAAAGGGUGCGUAGGCGGCUUAUUAAGUCAGGGGUGAAAGACGGUGGCUCAACCAUCGCAGUGCCCUUGAUACUGAUGAGCUUGAAUACACUAGAGGUAGGCGGAAUGUGACAAGUAGCGGUGAAAUGCAUAGAUAUGUCACAGAACACCGAUUGCGAAGGCAGCUUACUAUGGUGUCAUUGACGCUGAGGCACGAAAGCGUGGGGAUCAAACAGGAUUAGAUACCCUGGUAGUCCACGCCCUAAACGAUGAAUACUCGCUGUUAGCGAUACACAGUUAGCGGCUAAGCGAAAGCGUUAAGUAUUCCACCUGGGGAGUACGCCCGCAAGGGUGAAACUCAAAGGAAUUGACGGGGGCCCGCACAAGCGGAGGAGCAUGUGGUUUAAUUCGAUGAUACGCGAGGAACCUUACCCGGGCUUGAAAGUUAGUGAAUGAGAUAGAGAUAUUUCAGUGAGCAAUCACACGAAACUAGGUGCUGCAUGGCUGUCGUCAGCUCGUGCCGUGAGGUGUUGGGUUAAGUCCCGCAACGAGCGCAACCCCUAUGUUUAGUUGCCAGCACGUUAAGGUGGGGACUCUAAACAGACUGCCUGUGCAAACAGAGAGGAAGGAGGGGACGACGUCAAGUCAUCAUGGCCCUUACGUCCGGGGCUACACACGUGCUACAAUGGAUGGUACAGAGGGCAGCAAGCUGGCAACAGCAAGCAAAUCUCAAAAAGCCAUUCACAGUUCGGAUAGAGGUCUGCAACUCGACCUCUUGAAGUUGGAUUCGCUAGUAAUCGCGUAUCAGCAAUGACGCGGUGAAUACGUUCCCGG